ensembl:ncRNA C17G10.14 ncRNA
GCUAUUCUUCGGUAUUUGACGAACUCGUUGUUGUGCUGAUUGUCGAUGAGCAGAGACAGGUUUUACGACACCAUAAAAAUUGUGUUGCUUGAUUUGUAUCACAGAAUCCUGCAGAUUUCCAAGCACCACAUUUCAUGGGGAACUCGUCGACUGCAGUUGCACAAUCAACACCUGAUUCUCCUGAUUUGGAAGACUUUUGAAGUUUCUUCAAAUCUUGACCAGCUGGAAUUAAUAAGUUUUGAAUAUUUAGUUCUUGGUAAUUUACCAUGUAAUUCAUCAAGAAUCUGCCCUCGAUUUCUCUUACCCUGAUCGAUUUUCUCUUUCGACGUAAGGAAGUCUAAACUCAAAUGAUUUUUUCUUCCUUUCUUUCCUUUUUUGCUCUUCUUCUUUCCUUUUCUUUUGUUAUUUUUCUUUGAUUUUUUCUUCUUUUUCUUUUGUUUUUUCUCUUCCGAGUAAUCAUCUCCAUCUUCAUUUUCUUCGUAGUUCUCCCGUUCUUGCUUACAAUCCAUACUCUCAAAGUUAUGAUAAUCAUCCUGAAAUGAUUUUUUGAAAAAAUAAAACUGUAUUUAAUUUUAAA